rnacentral:rRNA from 1 species
UACGUAGGGGGCAAGCGUUGUCCGGAAUCAUUGGGCGUAAAGAGCGUGUAGGCGGCCUUAUAAGUCGGCUGUGAAAGUCAAGGGCUCAACCCUUGAAUGCCGGCCGAUACUGUGAGGCUAGAGUCCGGAAGAGGCGAGUGGAAUUCCUGGUGUAGCGGUGAAAUGCGCAGAUAUCAGGAGGAACACCGAUGGCGAAGGCAGCUCGCUGGGACGGUACUGACGCUUAGACGCGAAAGCGUGGGGAGCGAACAGG